rnacentral:rRNA from 1 species
AUUGAACGCUGGCGGCAGGCCUAACACAUGCACGUCGAACGAGUGGCGGACGGGUGAGUAAUUUCUUGGAAACUGCCUGAUGGUGGGGGAUAACUACUGGAAAAGGUAGCUAAUACCGCAUACCAUCAGAUGUGCCCAGAUGGGAUUAGCUAGUAGGUGGGGUAAUGGCUCACCUACGCGACGAACCCUAGCUGGUCUGAGAGGAUGACCAGCCACACUGGAACUGAGACAAGGUCCAGACUCCGACGGGAGGCAGCAGUGGGGAAUAUUGCACAAUGGGCGCAAGCCUGAUGCAGCCAUGCCGCGUGUGUGAAGAAGGCCUUCGGGUUGUAAAGCACUUUCAGCGAGGAGGCGUUACUCGCAGAAGAAGCACCGGCUAACUCCGUGCCAGCCGCCGCGGUAAUUC